rnacentral:rRNA from 1 species
GGUAGGGAAGGAAGAUGGUCGCCUCACGCCAGCGCGGACGGAAAUCGGACCCUUGGGGGCGGUGAGCAGGUAAAGGUCGACGGCGGGUGAGGGGAGGGAGAGUAGGGCAGUUUCUUCUCCUCUGCUCUUUCACUUCAGUUAGUUUAGGUACCCCUAGCACCUCCUCCGUGUGUUGGACGCCCAACAGCCCCUCCCCUUCGCGCCUCACUAGCAGGACCGCGUGCCGAAGCCGUGCCUGGUCAGCCACACCUUCGUGGACCACGGCGUGGAGCAGCGGCUGAUGGCGCAGCAGGAGAAGCUGUGGUACCCGCGGCCCGGCUGGUUGGGUCUGAUGAAGCUAAAAAGGGCGAUGCGGUGCGAGCUCCCUAUACGCGAGCUAGACGAGCGGUAGGACCUCCUCGAGCCCUAGCGGAGGACGUAGAUGCAGCCGGUGAGGCAGAGGCGACAUUAGCCGCACGAGCGGAGGUAGAGGGCAGGGCUGGAGAAGAGGUUCGAGCAUGAGGAGAGGCGAAGAGGGUCCAUGGAGUUACUACACCUAAUGAUACCCCCUAAACUCGUCCUCCUCGAACUACUCGAGAAACUUCGCUACUCUAGUUUGAUAUUCCGGACCACGAGUCCAAAACGUGGUGAGACACAACCUCCCCUGGACCUUAGACACAGUCAAGUCCUCAAGUCGGCUUGAGAGAAGUUGUAAGCGGGUCUGUAUCGGGACUCGCAACGGGUCUGUUAGAAGGUCUCACUACACGCGUGGGAGGAUGGCGAGCAGAGCCAGGGUACGGUAUAGCAAGUCUCGUGGUUCCUGGAGCGUCACGGUCAACACCACAGUCUCAUGAACGUGUUCGUAGAACCACCGCUGAGGUAGCAACUCCACUACGGGAGACUCCCGGUAGAGGGGGUCGAAUCGAGUGGCCUGUAACAGUGGGGGCAUAACGAGGCUGUGUAAGUCGUACUGUAACGUAAGAUUCAUCACGUUGGUACCGAGUAUCUUCGACAACGAACCUUCGAAAUACUCGUAGAAGUCCAGCAGGGAGCGCACCGAUUGCCGGAGUCGAGGGUGAGGGCGUGCAGGGGUUGUUGGAUCACGUCCAGCACGCGAUGGAUCAGGUCCAGAACGCGGAACACGCAGGAGAGUACGUCCCUGACGUCAAACAUGAGAGGAGGAGGGAGACAUGAAGACAACAUUUGAUAUAUUCGGGUAGCUCCGUCCGUUAUGUCACACACGCUCUCAAUGUGUUGUAUUGAACCAUAGUCUGCGAAGA